rnacentral:lncRNA from 1 species
GGAUUUAAACGUCCCGUGCAAUUGAGGUCGUUAAUUCGAGUUGGGUUCUUCAGAACGCAAGGCUAUCGAGGUCUUGAAUUGUGAACGCGUGUGUCGCGGUUAGACAAUUGGUAAGGGUUGGUUUGCAGGGCAUACCAGAAUCAACUACGAGAGGAAGAAUUGACGGUUAGGACGUUUUUAGCCGCUAUAACUAGCUUAUUGUUUAGAGGAGAAAAUUUAUUUUCGAGGAUCGAUUCAGAAACCGAAAUCCACCGAGUCUAAGGCUAAG